rnacentral:rRNA from 1 species
GACGAACGCUGGCGGCGUGCUUAACACAUGCAAGUCGAACGGUGAAGCGCCUUCCUUUUUGGUGGGUGUGGGUGAGUGGCGAACGGGUGAGUAACACGUGAGUAACCUGCCCCCUUCUUCUGGAUAACCGCAUGAAAGUGUGGCUAAUACGGGAUAUUCUGGGUCUGUCGCAUGAUGGGUCUGGGAAAGAUAUUGUUUCGGUGGGGGAUGGGCUCGCGGCCUAUCAGCUUGUUGGUGGGGUGAUUGCCUACCAAGGCGGUGACGGGUAGCCGGCCUGAGAGGGUGGACGGUCACACUGGGACUGAGACACGGCCCAGACUCCUACGGGAGGCAGCAGUGGGGAAUAUUGCACAAUGGGCGCAAGCCUGAUGCAGCGACGCCGCGUGAGGGAUGGAGGCCUUCGGGUUGUGAACCUCUUUCGCCAGUGAAGCAGGCCUGCCUCGUUUGUGGGUGGGUUGACGGUAGCUGGAGAAGAAGCGCCGGCUAACUACGUG